rnacentral:rRNA from 1 species
ACGUAUGGAGCAAGCGUUAUCCGGAUUUACUGGGUGUAAAGGGAGCGUAGGCGGUCCUGCAAGUCUGAUGUGAAAGGCCGGGGCUCAACCCCGGGACUGCAUUGGAAACUGUAGGACUAGAGUGUCGGAGGGGUAAGUGGAAUUCCUAGUGUAGCGGUGAAAUGCGUAGAUAUUAGGAGGAACACCAGUGGCGAAGGCGGCUUACUGGAUGACUACUGACGCUGAGGCUCGAAAGCGUGGGGAGCAAACAG